rnacentral:pre_miRNA from 1 species
UUUGAGGGGAAUGUUGUUUGGCUCGAGGCCACCAAUUAAUUGAUCCAAUGUGUGAACAAGUCUUGAUGGAUUAUUAUGUGUUAGUGUCGUCGGACCAGGCUUCAUUCCCCCCAAA